AUGAACCAUGUCUUUGUUGAUCCUGAGAGUAAAAAAGAAGUAGAUGGCCCCUUACUUCAGCAGAAUGAAGAUGCAAGAAAAGAACAAGAGUCAGCUCUUGGUGUUUACCAAAAGAUUCCAUCUGAAACUGUGUGCUGUUCUGACACCAACAACAACAGCAGUCAAGAAUGCAGCAAUUCUUCACUGUCCCCUCAUUUAAAUGAACUAAUUGACUCAUGUGUACAAGGGACAUUCAAGGAAGAUGUUAAUGUACAUCCAUCUGGAGCAAUGGCUAAAUCACUAUUACAGAGUGAGGAACUGUUUGACUCUGGCAGUCCUGGUUCACUGUCUUUACUUAUGGCCAUAAUCCAUAAUCAAGGAUUAACCUGCAGUCCAGAGGAUUCAGAGAAAGAUGAACCAUUAGAGGAAUCAGACACAGCCAACAAAAAACUGCCAGAUACUAAACCAUCAGAAGACCCACUUAUGGCCCAGUCAUUGUAUUGUGAGCUCCAACAACUACAGGGAACUUUGCCAUCAACCAGCCUUGCCAUUGAGUCUCUCCAUGUGGAUAGUAUCACUGGCUGUUCAGAAACCUGUAUAAAUACACCCAAUAAUGACUCGACACAAAUCAGCAUUCAAGAACUGCAAUCUCCUAAAACGCUGCCCCUAAAGAAGCCAGUAAAUCAGGACGGAGAAACAGGCAUGAUCACCAUUCAAAACCAGCAGGAGGUGGUAGAGAUAAAAGAGACAGCACUGAGCACUAAUCAGACAAAAAUGAGUAAGAGCUACAGUGAAGAUGUUUGCAUGGAAUGUGAAAAGCUGGAAUGUGACACAUUGAUUUUAAAUGUGACAGAUCUCAUUGGCGGACCUGAAGCAGAACCACAUUCUUCUUGGAGGGGGGUAGUUAAUGAGCCAGUGAGUGACGUUCUCAAAGACCAUGCCAGUACAUGUCCUGCUUCACCCACUUUUUUCUGUGACAGAGUAGAUGUUAAACAGCUUGAAAAUUCUCACAUGGCUGAUUGCAUUGUUGUCGAGAAUCAUAUAGUUAGAGAUUCAGGAGAUUCUGACUGCACUGUUGUGCAUGAACUCUUUGGUUCUGAAGAAAGGCAUAGUGAAAAGGAAGCAGAGAACAUAGAGGCUACACCUGACACAGUGGCUUCAGAGAGUGUUUUGAGGCUGUUUUUACCUGAAAAUUUGUGUACACAACCUUCACUGGAUAACAAUGAAGAAACGGCACAUGAUCCACAAAUAGCUCAGGAAAUCAAAAGGCUCCUAAACACAGGUGAACUAAAAAGGCAGAAAAAGAAAUUGAAACAGAAGAAAAAUCCGCUUAGACAAGGACGAAAUGUCGCAGAUGGAUUGAAUACAGGAUCAAAGAGAUGUUUUAAAAUUACUCAGAGAAAUCUUCACAAGCGAAAUAGUGUAGGAGAAACUCAGCUUCACCGGGCGUGCAUCAGAGGAGACCUGCAAAUGGUCAAAGUCUUGAUAGAAGCUGGAAGCAAUGUUAAUGUAUCAGAUCAUGCAGGUAGGAAAAUCCUUGCCUUGGUAAGUGUACAUCAUUUCCUUUGA
ensembl:lncRNA